CUGAUUCCAAAUCUGGGGCAGAAAAUUACAAGGUGAGCCUGGGUGGUGUUGCCUAAUAGAAAGCAAGGAAACCAUGGUGGAUGGUCGGGCUGUGUCAGAAGGACUCAGAGCCACCCUGCGGAGGACCCCACUGGUCAAAGGUGGAACAAUGUUCCCGUCCUCCUUUGACAACAGUGCCUUCAAGGGCGGGCCCUCAUAUCAAACUGCCUUCUUUGCUCUCAGUCUGAACCCAGUACAAGCAACCCUAACGCUGCCUUGAGCACAAGCGUCUUGAUGGAGGUCAUCUCUGCUGAUCCCCUCCACGUCCUCCUGAACUCUCACUACUCCAUGUUCAUAUUCCCACACAGCCAGCACCCUACUGAUGCUGCCCCUGGUAAGGCCACCAGGGACCUCCUAACUGCCAAAUCCGAAGGGUUAUCUCUGGACCUGACCACGCUGGGCCUCUACUCACUGGAAGUGGCUGAUCUUUCCCACCACGUGGACCCUGCGGCCCCCACGCCCUGCAUUCCUCCUGCCGCUCUGGCUAAAAGGCUUCAGGCUUUUUUGGUGACCCUCCUUGCACACUCCACCCUUAACCUCCCUCUCUUCUCAUUCUACCAAUGCUUCUUCCACUUCUUUUUUCAAGGACACCUUUGAAAAUUUGCUGAAAGGGAUGGGAAGAGUUUCCCCAAAACAAAAUAAAACUCUGUAUUCACAGACACAUAAUAUUUUAAGUCACUUCAAGAGGCCUCUGGACAUCCUGAAGCCACAUUGGCCCUCUGCU
rnacentral:lncRNA from 1 species